GUUAACGUAGCAUAACCUGGUACUGCAAAAGGCCUAAACCCUUUCCAUAGAGAUUCAAAUCCUCUCGUUAACU
rnacentral:tRNA from 1 species